rnacentral:rRNA from 1 species
CACGUAGGUUGCGAGCGUUGUCCGGAAUUAUUGGGCGGAAAGAGCUCGUAGGCGGUGUGUCGCGUCGGCCGUGAAAACCUGCAGCUUAACUGUGGGCUUGCGGUCGAUACGGGCAUCACUGGAGUUCGGCAGGGGAGACUGGAAUUCCUGGUGUAGCGGUGAAAUGCGCAGAUAUCAGGAGGAACACCGGUGGCGAAGGCGGGUCUCUGGGCCGAUACUGACGCUGAGGAGCGAAAGCGUGGGGAGCGAACAGG